GACGAACGCUGGCGGCGCGCUUAACACAUGCAAGUCGAGCGAGAACCGGGGUUUCGGCCCCGGGGACAGCGGCGAACGGGUGAGUAACACGUGGGUAACCUGCCCUCGGCACCGGGAUAGCCCGGGGAAACCCGGAUUAAUACCGGAUGGCCCCUCCGGCCCUCGGGCCGGCCGGGAAAGGUAGCUUCGGCCUCCGGCCGAGGAUGGGCCCGCGGCGGAUUAGCUUGUUGGCGGGGUAACGGCCCACCAAGGCACCGAUCCGUAGCUGGUCUGGGAGGACGAUCAGCCAGACUGGGACUGAGACACGGCCCAGACUCCUACGGGAGGCAGCAGUGGGGAAUCUUGCACAAUGGGCGAAAGCCUGAUGCAGCGACGCCGCGUGCGGGAAGACGGCCUUCGGGUUGUAAACCGCUUUCAGGAGGGACGAAGCCACUCGGGUGAAUAGCCCAGAGGGUGACGGUACCUCCAGAAGAAGCCCCGGCUAACUACGUGCCAGCAGCCGCCGUAACAC
rnacentral:rRNA from 1 species